GGAAGUUCACCUUCUCUUAUGAUCUACUAAAAGAUUGGGCAAAUCCUUUAUGUUUCAAAAUCCCCGAUAGAGGAGGACCGUUCUUCGGUCAAGGGUAUACGAGUAGCUGCGCUCCCCUGCUAGAACCUCCAAACAAGCUCUCAAAAUCAUCUGGGUACUUGGAUUUUUAUAAGCACACAUAGACACACUCUGCUGU
rnacentral:snRNA from 1 species